rnacentral:lncRNA from 1 species
CCCCUGUUCAUCCAUUAGAAUAUUUUGGGAUUUGAUGUCACAAUGGAUUAUUUGGGUAUCGCACUCUUCAUGAAGAUAGAGGAGACCUCUUGCUAUGUUGCGAGCAAUUUCCACCCUCUCAUUCCAGCAAGGUCGUUUUUCAGGUGUAAAGAGCACAUCAGCUAGUGAUCCAUUGACCAUGUACUCAUAGACCAACAGCCUAUUAGCUCCUUUGUGGCAAUAUCCGAUUAGUCGAACUAAAUUUCGAUGAUGAGUUCUGCCAAUAAUUUUCAUCUCGUUUUGAAACUCUCGUUCCCCUUGAUUUGAUACUUUGUCCAAUUUCUUCACUGCAACGACCUUCACGCCAUUAUCCAACAUUGCGGUCCCUUUGUAAACUGUUCCGAAUGCUCCUUUUCCAAUUUCUUCCUUGAAAUUAUGAGUCAUCUGCUCAAUUUCUUCAAAACUAAACGAUAUCGGAGCAACAUUUUCGCACAAUCUUAUGCCGCUAUGAGUAGAAAACCGUUUGUACCUGAAAACAUGACUCCUAUAAAUGAAAGCCCCAGAAAUUACCAACACAAUGAUUGCAAAACCAAUCAGUGAAACACCUAUAAUUAGAAUGUCCAUUCGAAGUUUUUCCAUUCGUUCUUUAGACACAUCAUGUUUUCUUGAUUCACUGGAUAGACCUACCUUGAUCAAAGCUACGUUUGAAUCACGAAGAUUCCUUCUCCCAAAUCUCAGAGGAAGCCUCUGCAUCUUGCACUCCGUAUCUUUAAACAUGGCAGCUUCACAGGUGCAAUCCUCGGAACAUGCGGUCUCGCAGUCUUCUUUGGUUGUUAACGACAGAACAGAAUAUCCAGAAUCUUCCCACACAGUAUUCUCAACUGCCUGAAUGGUGUACUGGAUUCUCCCUUCCUCACUUUUGCAGCUCUCGGUGGAGAAAUUCCUUUCACAGCCAGCACUAAAAUUGCCCUCUAUAACUGGAGCAAAUCCUGGAAGACAUCUACAAUCAGCUUCUUUAUCUUCAUUGACGCAAUAGCUAUUAAACCCACAUAGACCCUUGGGAUCACACUUGUCAGAAGUAGAUGACCAUAAAACUGAUUGAUUCCCAUUCUGAUUGAAUUCGUAAGAAUAGAGUCGGAAGAUACCAUCCGAAUCAAUUUUCAUCAGAUAAAUUGUUCCAUUUUUAUCAUAUCCUCCUUCAAAAAUAUCCUUUAUGUUGAAGCCUGUGGAAUUGAGCAGGUAUAGAUGUCCAUCUUUAUCAAGAUUCAGGCUCACAUUAUCUCCUCUACCAUCUGUACCAGAUGCCCAAUAAGCAUAGCUUGCUGUGUCUGGAGUUUCCACAGGGUACUGCACAAGGUUUCCAUCAUUCUGCAUCUUAAGACGAAAUAUUCCUGUUGACUGGUCAGUUUCUGAGACGCUAGAGAACAGCUCUACCCCAGCUAAGAGACGUUGUCCUUGUAGAAUGGUAGUGGUAGGAUGAUCGAAGCUCUGCCAUAUUACUUUCUGGUCAGAAUUGUAUACAACAAAAUUACCAGUAUUAAGCAUGGAAGCUGUGGCAAUUUUUUCAGAAGAAUCAAUGAUGUAUACUUCUCGUCCCUGCGGUGAUUGCAGAAUGAGCCUUCCAUCAGUCGUAAGAAGCAACCUAGCUGUGCUUUUAACUGGAGGAUCAUCUCGGUUGGCUGUCCAAACCACUGUCCUUUGGGGAACUCCAGCAAGAAAAAUUCCGACAGCAUAGCUCUUGGCAGCUUGCUGGUAAAAUCCAAAGGCAUAUAGGCCAGAAGGGGAUAGCCAUGUAGAUUGGCCUGUGGGUGUUAGCGAUGAGCCUAGAGUUAUGUUGGUAUUCCUUGUUUGAGCUACUGCAGUUGACAUGAUGGAAAGAAGAAGUAAUAAAAUGGUGGCCAUGGCUCAUGAGUUAGAGAGUUAUCCUUUCUCUGGUUUUACGAGCUUUGAGAUAUACAAAGUUAAAUAUUAUAUGGGGUAGGUUGCAUAGAGGUGUCAAAGUCGAGGGACCAUCACCAUUGACUAAUGCCAUUAUCAUUGGAAUAGUCAAAAUAUUGAACAUUGAAUGAAUUGGAGGGUGGAGCCCUCAUCUUUCCUCCUCGAUCCGUUUGUUAUUGUUCCACUUCUUUGAUCAACUUGUUGAAUAGUUGCAAGAGGAAAUGUUAUUGGAAACUUGGGUGAACCCCAAGUGUAAGUUGUUGCUAGUCAAGUGUUAGGUCCUGACGGGGGUUAUGCAUGGUCCCAGUUGGUACUUGGUAUGAACCCUUUUUAUUUGAUUUGAAGAUAAUAAUGUCGACUGUGCCCUUUCUUUUCAAAUUACUCAUCAACGAUAACCUUUUGUCCUUUUUGUUAUUAUUAUGUCUUAAUUGACUUUGAAAUCUGGAUAUAUUAGUCCUCAAUAUUCAAUAUUUUGAAGAGCUUUAAAUUCAAAACUUUUAAUUAUUAUUUCUACCAAAAUUGAAAUAUACACAAUCUUUCGAUAAAUAGUUAUAUAUCAAAAUUUAAGAUAAAACGUACUUAACACGAAAAACAAACAAAUUGCAUGCAGGAAGUAUGAUUUUCCACAACAAUAUUUAGAGAAAUAUCAGAAUUAAAUGUAUGAGUACAGUCAUAAUUAUUAUUUUGAAUCUAAAUGAAAAGACUGUUUGCCAUGAGGAAACUUAAUUUCCAGUCUGAUAGAGCACCACCAAUUCAAAGUCUUGGGAUUUAGCAAAGAUUUCUACUAACAUUCUUUCCCUUAAGAAGUGAAGAACGAGCGGAUUUAGUAGUCCUAUUAUCGGAUUUUGACGAACGAAACUGCUUCGAUUUUUGCAUCCUUUUUUUCUUCACCAAAAAAAAUAUUAUCAUGUUGCAUAAUAAAAUAGCAAAAUAUUAUAUUAAUAUUAACAGUAAAUUAUCUUCUUUUUUUAAUAAAAAAAAUGAGUUUUAUUAACCAUACAACCAAAAUAUCAUCGUUAAUCUCAAGCUACUUUAAGGGUAUAAAUUUUAUAAGGAACCUUUCAAAAGAACUUUUUUUCAAUUUAUGAAUAGACGUAAGGGAAUGCAUAACAUUGCACUUAACAGUUUUGUUUCUGUGAGAAUUCCUUUUCUUUUUUUUUUUUUUGUUCUAAUUUUGAGUUUUUAGGCAGUGACUAUUCAUUACAGAGGGAAAAGAAAAAACACCCCUCAAAUAACUAUCUAUUUUACUCUUUUUCUAAGAACACCUAAAACAAAGGCAGGCCGUGCAUCAAAAGCUUUCCAAUGAGAAUUCGCCAUAACUAAUGUAGUGGAAAAACAAAGUGCAUUGCAAUUUUCCACCAGGAAAUGACAAAUUACCUGCCUUGCCUAGGUCGUGUAAUUAAUUACUGUGCACUUUUACUUUCCUUUUCAGGGAGAGGUAACCUCUGUAGAGUAGCAUAUUUAUAAUAAUACAACAAUUCCGAUGUUCCUUUCUAAUAUUAUCAACCCUUCUCUACCUUUCAGUAUUCAAAGGUGCUCUUGUUAUUUUACACAAGUGUUGAUCCUAAUUUGACAAAACUUGAAAUUCUCUGCUUGACUACAUAUAAUUAUACUCGAGAUAGAAAUGAAUGUCUAAGUAGCUAUACAUAUAAACAAAAGCAAAAACUUGCUGCUAAGUUUCUCAUAAAUUUGACUCAUAUUGCAUAACAGAUAAUUUUACUGUAAGUUUACAUUAUAUUAGCAUUGAACUAAGGUAUGAUGCAGUAUUAAACUACAGAACCGGAAUGUCAAUUAUAGUCAAUCACAAGAAUUCUUUAUUAAUACAACUUGUGGCAAGAAGCAAUACUUUGAUCAAUGUAUGAUAGACAUUUCAUUUAAUACAGAGAGGACAAGUUACCUAUAAUUACGCAAUCCCAUUCAAAAAUCUCAACAGCAAGACACAAUUAAAUAGCACUAAAAAAAGAAGUUGGGCUGGGAGGUACUGGAAUGGCAACUGUCCCUUCCAACAUCAACAGAACCUUCUUCAUGGAAGGGCGAAGUGUUGGCUCAUCUAAAAUACACCAUAAUCCGACUCUCACCAUCCUUUCCAAUUGUUUCUCGUCAACCUCUUCAUCAUCCCCUACUAGUUUCCGUAGUUCACCACCCUGAAAACAAUCGUAGACCCAUUCUUCGAGGACGGCUUCUUCCUCGGGAAGGCUCCAAUUCACACUCCGCCUACAACAUAUGAUCUCCAAUACUACGACUCCAAAGCUGUAAACAUCUGCUUUGACUGUCACUGGCAGUUUCCUGUGCCACUCUGGUGCAACAUACCCCCUUGUUCCUCUGAUCCCAGUGAAGGUUUUGGUUUGGUCUGGCUUUAGCAGCUUGGCCAAACCAAAAUCAGAUAUUUUUGCAUUCCCCUGUUCAUCCAUUAGUAUAUUUUGAGAUUUGAUGUCACAAUGGAUUAUUUGGGUAUCGCACUCUUCAUGAAGAUAGAGGAGACCUCUUGCUAUGUUGCGAGCAAUUUCCACCCUCUCAUUCCAGCAAGGUCGUUUUUCAGGUGUAAAGAGCACAUCAGCAAGUGAGCCAUUGACCAUGUACUCAUAGACCAACAGCCUAUUAGCUCCUUCGUGGCAAUAUCCGAUUAGUCGAACUAAAUUUCGAUGAUGAGUUCUGCCAAUAAUUUUCAUCUCGUUUUGAAACUCUCG